UGGGGCGUGGCCAAGUGGUAAGGCAGCGGGUUUUGAUCCCGUCAUUCGGAGGUUCGAGUCCUUCCGUCCCAG
rnacentral:tRNA from 1 species